rnacentral:rRNA from 1 species
AUGCCUACGGGGGGCAGCAGUGGGGAAUAUUGCACAAUGGGGGGAACCCUGAUGCAGCGACGCCGCGUGGGUGAAGGAGCGUUUCGGCGCGUAAAGCCCUAUCGGCAGGGAAGAAGGAGGACGGUACCUGACUAAGAAGCCCCGGCUAACUACGUGCCAGCAGCCGCGGUAAUACGUAGGGGGCAAGCGUUAUCCGGAUUUACUGGGUGUAAAGGGAGCGUAGACGGCUGUGCAAGUCUGGAGUGAAAGGCAGGGGGUCAACCUGUGGACUGCUUUGGAAACUGUGCGGCUUGA